rnacentral:rRNA from 1 species
GACGAACGCUGGCGGCGUGCUUAACACAUGCAAGUCGAACGGAAAGGCCCUGCUUUUGUGGAGUGCUCGAGUGGCGAACGGGUGAGUAACACGUGAGUAACCUUCCCUUGACUUUUGGAUAACUUCAGGAAACUGGGGCUAAUACCGGAUAGGAGCUCCUGCUGCAUGGUGGGGGUUGGAAAGUUUCGGCGGUUGGGGAUGGACUCGCGGCUUAUCAGCUUGUUGGUGGGGUAGUGGCUUACCAAGGCUUUGACGGGUAGCCGGCCUGAGAGGGUGACCGGCCACAUUGGGACUGAGAUACGGCCCAGACUCCUACGGGAGGCAGCAGUGGGGAAUAUUGCACAAUGGGCGGAAGCCUGAUGCAGCAACGCCGCGUGCGGGAUGACGGCCUUCGGGUUGUAAACCGCUUUCGCCUGUGACGAAGCGUGAGUGACGGUAAUGGGUAAAGAAGCACCGGCUAACUACGUG